CAGUCGCCGCGGUAAUACGUAGGUGGCAAGCGUUGUCCGGAAUUAUUGGGCGUAAGGGGCUCGCAGGCGGUUUCUUAAGUCUGAUGUGAAAGCCCCCGGCUCAACCGGGGAGGGUCAUUGGAAACUGGGAAACUUGAGUGCAGAAGAGGAGAGUGGAAUUCCACGUGUAGCGGUGAAAUGCGUAGAGAUGUGGAGGAACACCAGUGGCUAAGGCGACUCUCUGGUCUGUAACUGACGCUGAGGCGCGAAAGCGUGGGGAGCGAACAGGAUUAGAUACCCCUGUAGUCCCUGUCUCUUAUAA
rnacentral:rRNA from 1 species